rnacentral:lncRNA from 1 species
AUGAAUCCUUCCAACUCUGCUGGGAGAAAGUGCUAUAAUACCUUCUUUUUUACAUGCUCUUACUGUUUUAGGGACUUAAAAUUGGGACCUUAUGUAGAUCAUUACUAUAGAGACUACCCAACGCUUGUCAGAACUACUGGACAAGUGUGCACAAUUGAUCCAGGUCAAACAGGAUUUAUGCAUCAUCCAUCAUUUUUUACUUCUGAGCCACCAAGUAUUUAUCAGUGGGUGAGUUCUUGUCUGAAGGGUGAAGGAAUGCCACCUUAUCCUUACCUCCCUGGAAUCUGUGAAAGAAGCAGACUAGUAGUGUUGGUAUGUAUGUGGAGUGUUACUACCUAUCUUCUUUUCCUUUUAAAAUUUAGUUUUAAAAAUUAUACCUAAUGUUAAGUUUUUCUUUCUGCGUAUAUUUCUGUGAAUUUCAGUAUGUGUAUAGAUUCAUGUAAUUACUACAAUUAGGAUAUAGAACAUUUGUAUCACCCUUAAACAUUUCUCUCAUGAUUUUGAGAUAAAUCCAAGUUGUUUCCUAUAUUAGCAGUUCAUUGCAUUCUGUGGCUGAUUAGUAGUUUAUUGCAUGGAUGUGCCAUAGUUGGUUUUUCAUUCAAGAUAAUUGGGUUGAUCACCGAAGCGGGAGCAGCCAAGAUGAAGUUCAGUCCCUUUGUGACUUCUGGCUAAUGCAAGAAUCGCAAAAGGCAUUUCAAUGCACCUUCCCACAUUCGCAGGAAGAUUAUGUCCUCCCCUCUUUCCAAAGAGCUGAGACAGAAGUACAACGUGCAGUCCAUGCCCAUCCGAAAGGAUGUUGAAGUUCAGGUUGUACGAGGACACUAUAAAGGUCAGCCGAUUGGCAAAGCAGUCCAGGUUUGCAGGAAGAAAUAUGUAAUGUACAUUGAACGGGUGCAGCAGGAAAAGGCUAAAGGCACAACUGCCCACGUAGGCAUUCACCCCAGCAAGGUGGUUACCACUAGGCUAAAACUGGACAAAGACCGCAAAAAGAUCCUUGAACAGAAAGCCAAAUCUUGCCAAGUAGGAAAGGAAAAGGGUAAAUACCAGGAAGAAACAAUUGAGAAGAUGCAGGAAUAAAGUAAUCUUAUAUACGAGCUUUGAUUAAAACUUGAAAC